rnacentral:rRNA from 1 species
CCUACGGGGGGCUGCAGUGGGGAAUAUUGCACAAUGGGGGAAACCCUGAUGCAGCGACGCCGCGUGAGUGAAGAAGUAUUUCGGUAUGUAAAGCUCUAUCAGCAGGGAAGAAAAUGACGUUACCUGAUUAAGAAGCCCCGGCUAACUACGUUCCAGCAGCCGCGGUCAUACGGAGGGGGCAAGCGUUAUCCGGAUUUACUGGUGGUAAAGGGAGCGUAGACGGCAGCACAAGGCGGGAGUGAAAGGCCCGGGCUUAACCCAGGAACUGCUUUGGAAACUGUGCAACUAGAGUGCAGGAGAGGUAAGUGGAAUUCCUAGUGUAGCGGUGAAAUGCGUAGAUAUUAGGAGGAACACCAGUGGCGAAGGCGGCUUACUGGACUGUAACUGACGUUGAGGCUCGAAAGCGUGGGGAGCAAACAGGAUUAGAUACCCUUGUAGUC